rnacentral:rRNA from 1 species
AUUAAUUCGAUGCAACGCGAAGAACCUUACCUGGGUUUGACAUAUGCCGGAAAGCUGCAGAGGUGUAGCCCCCGCAAGGUCGGUAUACAGGUGGUGCAUGGCUGUCGUCAGCUCGUGUCGUGAGAUGUUGGGUUAAGUCCCGCAACGAGCGCAACCCUCGUCCUAUGUUGCCAGCGGGUCAUGCCGGGGACUCAUAGGAGACUGCCGGGGUCAACUCGGAGGAAGGUGGGGAUGACGUCAAGUCAUCAUGCCCCUUAAGUCCAGGGCUUCACGCAUGCUACAAUGGCUGGUACAAAGGGCUGCGAUACCGCAAGGUGGAGCGAAUCCCAAAAAGCCAGUCUCAGUUCGGAUUGGGGUCUGCAACUCGACCCCAUGAAGUCGGAGUCGCUAGUAAUCGCAGAUCAGCAACGCUG